AGCAAUAAAUAGUGAAUCACCAUGUGUGGAAAAAGAAAAUAAACAAAUAAAUGGCAAAACUGAUGGGACCCUCUGCUAAUGUGGGUGUGGGCCGUGGAGGCAAUCACACCUCAAGAGNAAGAGAUCGAAGGUUCAUCAACUGCUUCAAACUGCCCUUUUGAUGAUCAUCAUCCUGCCUGGAACAGCUAUUGUUCGGAAUUUGGAAGUCUAAAGAAAAUUUGCCAACACAGCUACUAAGACUAUCAUCAUGAUCUUGAAGAUCAAGCGAAUAUGCAACAUCUUCCGUGCUCCAUCCCGCGCGCAAC
rnacentral:misc_RNA from 1 species